rnacentral:rRNA from 1 species
ACGGGGCCCGCACAAGCGGUGGAGCAUGUGGUUUAAUUCGAUGCAACGCGAGGAACCUUACCUGGGCUUAAAUGUAGAGUGCAUUUUUAGAGAUAGAAAUUCCCUUCGGGGCUUUCUGCAAGGUGCUGCAUGGUUGUCGUCAGCUCGUGCCGUGAGGUGUCGGGUUAAGUCCCAUAACGAGCGCAACCCUUAUCGUUAGUUGCCAUCUGGUAAUGCAGGGGACUCUAGCGAAACUGCCACCGUAAGGUGAGAGGAAGUGGGGAUGACGUCAAAUCAGCACGGCCCUUAUGUCCAGGGCUACACACGUGUUACAAUGGUCGGUACAGAGGGCAGCUACCUGGUGACAGGAUGCUAAUCUCGAAAACCGGUCUCAGUUCGGAUCGAAGUCUGCAACUCGACUUCGUGAAGCUGGAUUCGCUAGUAAUCGCGCAUCAGCUAUGGCGCGGUGAAUACGUUCCCGGGCCUU